GGGCCAUAGCUCAGCUGGGAGAGCGCAACACUGGCAGUGUUGAGGUCAGCGGUUCGAUCCCGCUUGGCUC
rnacentral:tRNA from 1 species